UUAGAGGGGACUAUAAAGCACUGUGAAGUGGUAUAUAAAUCUAAGUGCUAUUGCUAUUAAAAUGUAGACAUCAGAAUCAGGAAAUAUGAAGAAGUUAUUAUAAGCAAAUUCAGACUCACAUAAAAGAUGAGAUCAAUUGUUCUAUUGGUAAUAAACUUACCCAUGGAAGUAUUGUUCUAAAGUGGGCAUUAGCCUCCUCUCUUUUACUAUGUAACUUUUGUCAAUGAGCAGAGGAUAUGUUGUUAGUUCAAAAGAGAACAUAAAAAUUCCAAAAACAUACCAGAAGAGAACUUCUAUCGUAAAUGAGGUUGUGAUGAAACCUAUAGUUUAAAAAAACCCCAUGCUGAAUAGUAAUCAGAUGAGCUGUCCCAGGAGCAAAAGAGAAAGAUGAAAGGAACUAACUUUACACUCAGAUAAGAAGCUUCGCAGGGCAACAUGUUUGAUAAGAAGAAACAUGAGCCUACGAGAUCAUAAAAAGUCAUGACGAAGGAGACAAGAAUUUCAAAUAGUCAAAUAUUCCAUUGGCCAGAUGUCAUGGGAAAAGCUGAAAAAGUUUUUGUUUCAACAGAAGGAGCAAAUUAUUAAAGUAAUAAAGGUGAGCUAAAAAUAAAACGAAAUUCUGGCACAGAUUUCCCCAUUCCUAAGAAAAAAGAUGGAGACAAAAAGAAGUUCCUUGAAGGCAAACUAUCCCAGCCCAUGCAUACGGGUCUUGCUCCCAAUGAGUAUAGAUUGAAUCAGGCACAGAAAGAACUUCCUUUCUGUGUCCCUCCUGCCUCAUUGUUCCAAUGGUUAAUAGGCAUUUAUAAAAACACUGUAUAGCAGAGGGUCUAGAUUGCAAUGUGCAGUAUGCUAUUUCAAACUUCUCUUCAGUGGCCCUAAUGAUAAGCAGUGUAUGACUGGUUAUGAUUUUUCAACACUUGUACACCCAUUCAAUGGUCAACUUAUUGUGGAGGUUUCUACCUAACUGCUGGAAAAUUGGUCAAUUAUUGAUGUUUUCUGGUCCAACUGGAUAGCAACUUGGUUCUGGAGCAAAGAACUUGAUCCACAGCAAACAGCAUUGCAGUAAUGUUUGCAUAAAGUGUUUACUUUCCUGGCUGAAGCAUUUCCCUCCCGAGAUGAAAAGCAUGCAGGUCUUGGUGCCCAACUUCAAAUCCAAAAUAGCUAUAAUUUUCUUCUCUCUAGAAACACAAUACUACAUCCAGGAACCUAAUCCCAAUCAAGGCUUAGAGAGUACACCAUGGACAGCCAAAAAUCCAAACUGAUAAAUCAUUGAACAAACAACCAAGCUAAAAUCAUCCUAUUCCAGACACAUUAUGCAAACAUCCAGCUUUCUGGAAAAAGCUCUAAUGCUGGGAAAUUGGAAGGAAAUAGAAGACAACAAACCAACAAAAAGAUUUUCACUGGUGCAGGUAUGCUGGUCCAAAACCUAGCCUGAAGAUGGCGAGUGACACCUCACUGAAAUGUUGCCAAGACAAUCUCAAUCUUACACAGGAAAAGACCCGA